GGAGAGACUCAGAACAAUCAGAAACCUGCCAAGGGAAAGCACCUGUGCCCCAUUUCAGAGAAUCUCUAGUAGCUAGUGAUGAAGUGGAAAGGGAGCCUCUUCCUAGAGCAGGAAAGAUGGAGCAGGGUGGUUAAGAGGUGACUGCUAAGGAAUUUUUUUUUAAAUGGGUGUCUGUGGUUUGUUGUUGUGCAUUUUUGAUGAUGAAUGAAGGGCCUCAAAAGGUCUUGCAUAGGCAUGAAAAAGGACCCAGGGAACCCAAAGAAUGAACUACAAGUGUCAACAUCACCUCCUUUAAGGCUGACUCACACAUGCUGUGAGAUCUCUCUGAAGUGAAGUGAGAUGGCUAGUGUAGCAGUGCAUUUGGUUCAUAGACCUUGAGGAGUCCUGUCCUGAUUCACUUGGUAAACAGUGGAAAUCCUGUGAGCCUCUUGCGAAAGAAGAGAGGCUACAACUCACUUCAGUUCCACCAGGAUAAAAAGAGA